GUAAAAAAAUUAAAGCCGAAGACAGUAGGCGGGCGUAAGCCCUUAAUCUCCUACCGAGGAACAUUGAAGACUAAUCUUCUUUUACCUUGGUAGAAGAGGAUUUUUCAUUUA
rnacentral:sRNA from 1 species